rnacentral:lncRNA from 1 species
AUCAAUAUAAUGAAGGAAAGGACUUCGAGGUGGGAGAAGUUGUGGAGGAGGAAAAACCAUUAAUAAGAAAAAUGAUUAUAACCGCCUUGUGGUGUAUACAAUUGAAGCCAAGCGAUCGACCUUCAAUGAAGGAAGUCCUACAGAUGCUCGAAGGAGAUGUUGAAUUACUUCGAAUGCCUCCGGAGCCUCUUCUAUAUCCCAAGAGAUGCCCGUAGGUGCUCCUAAUGAUAAUCCGAAUCCAACAUAUUCGAAGGUGGAGUUAACAUCUUCUUUGACGGGUAGGUGAAGACACGCAACUAGCAUGGACUCUGUCAGUUUGAAUCUCAAUGCAAUGUUUCUGGUUUUGUAGUAGUACUGUGUGCAUGAUAAAACCCCCUUUCAUUGAUGUUAAAUAUGUUUAGUACAACAUAUUUUCAUGAUUCCAGGGAUAAAUAACAUAUUUCAUGGAGGACAUGUUGUAUGAUUCAUGAAGACGAUAUUUUCUAAUUUUUGUUCCAAGAAAUUAUUAGUUGUGAUGAUUGUUCGCUCGUGCUGAUAAUUCUGGUUCUAAUGGGCUCAUGCCGGCUGCUCUUACAUAUCUCCGGUUGUUAUUUGUCCGUGGAGGGAGGGACCUCCCUAGUCAAUAUCGAAAACAUUUUUUUUCUUGUGAAUACAACGAUAUAUUUACACUAAGGGGGAGUGGGUCGCCUAAGCCAUACAAUGGACAAUCUAAUUUGCUAUCCAAUUUGUCAUCUACAAGAUUUAAACUUAAGAUCUCUCACUUGCAAGUGAAGAGGAAUAUCAUCAUAUGUAGUAUUGAGUGGCAAUAUUCGAAACCUUUUAGUUGGGUGGCAAUAUUCGAAACCUUUUAGUUUGCCAAGUCAUUUCUUGGUUAGAAGUUUUUUAAGAAAGUUGAGGUUCCACCCCAAAAUCAAUUGGCAAUAUGAGAGUAGUCUAAUUACUUAUAAGUACAUGUAAGGUCCCUUCUUUCUCUAAUGUGGAAUUCACUUUCAAAAAAUAUUUUGUCUGAGAAUCCCUCCUUUUGUAUUUGAAAUGCUGCCUGCUCUGUACUGUGCAACCAGUUUAUAGCCUUGGUGGAGGACUUAGCCUUCUCAUUAUAAUUUCCUAUGAUACUUGAACGUAAUGUCUAUCACUUGCUGGAGCAUCAUUGUAAUUGUAAGCCAAAUGGAAGAUUUGUUGAUCACAGCCUUGGUGAAGAUAUUCAAUUCCUUUGGCAAAUGGCUAGAUCUUGCAUCCCAACCAAGAAAUUUGUUGUUAUUGUCUGCUGAUGAAAUGAAAUCAUGCAGUGAUCUAUUGAACAGCAGUUCGUCUAAAUCCAUAAACGCAGAAGCCAACCAAGGGAAUAGCAUGGUUGAUAUGACCCAUUGUUCCCCCUUUAUUUAUGAACUCUUCUCCAUCUCCCCUUCCAAUUGUAUAAUAUCAUAUGGUUUACCAUAUCGUAUUUCGGUCACAAGUGAGAUAAUUAAUCUCAAUUCGAACUUAGCGAUUAAUAUAAUGAUAAUUUUUUUUUCAUGAUCAGGAUUUUCAGCCUGGAGAGACAGUAAGAAGUUUGCCACACUGCCAUAACAUAUUUCACCUGCCUUGUAUAGAUAAGUGGCUCCUAGGGCAUGCCUCAUACCCUCUCUGCGUAAGGGAUUUGUGAAUGUGAUGAUCUUCUUGUAGAUUACCAAAUGAGUAAAAAGUUCAUUUAUUGAUUAUACAAAUUUUUUAUCCUUUUCAUUUGUAUUGGUAUUCACCAGACUGCUCUAGGAUGAGCAAAAUACUCAUAGGUUUGGGUAACCAUGUUUACCCGUCCAUUUAAAGUUCACGGUUAUGGUUAUGGGUAACCAUUUAGACGAACAAACGGUUAUGAGUAUAACCGUUUAUUUUUGAAAUUUAAAUGGGCUGUUAUGGAUAUUACCGACUGUUAUAAUGGGUAUCUAUUGGUUAUGGGUAUUAUCCACGAUUAUACGGGUAUCCAUUUACCUAUUUAAUUUAAUAUAUAUAAAAAUAAAAAUAAAAUUAUCGCAGGGAUUUUGAGGGGUUUUAGAAGUAGCUCCUAUCGCAGGGAUUUUGAGGGAUUUUAGAAGUAGGCUCUCUCUCUCUCUCUCUCUCUCUCUCUCUCUCUCUCUCUCUCUCUCUCUCUCUCUCUCUCUCUCUCUCUCUCUCUCUCUCCCUCUCCCUCCUCUGGUCCUGACCCUCUCCUUCCCAGCUCCACUGCAGGGAUUUUAAUUAUCACAGGGAUUUUGGGUAUGCUAAAAUUCUAAGUACAGGUUCAUGGUGUAGGCUCCGGCCAUGAACUCUUUCUUGCAAAGUGCAAAUGCAAUAACAACAUAUAUAUAUAUAUAUAUAAAUACAAAUUACACAAUAUAAUUAAUCAAUUAAAAUACACACAAUCAUCCAGUUGAUCUGGUCACCAUGUCUGUAUGUGCUAUCAAUAGAACAUUUGUGACUUGCCAUCUUGAUAGUUGAUACGAUGAUAUAUCACUUUGUGAAUAUGAUCUCGUAAACUAUCAUUUCAAUUAUUGAAAUUGUAUGAGGACUUGAAUGAUUAAAAUAUAGAAAUGCAUGCUAAAAUGUACCUAUAACGGUGCUUAAUUGUCAGAAAACGAAAAUUAUGAUAAAUUUUUCUUUUGUAAUUUUCAAGUUGUUAGAAAAAAAACAUGUAGACGGAUGAAAAAGGGUAAAUGGGUAAAAAAAAAGAAGGAUAAAUAGGUUCAAAAACGGGUAAUUGGUUAUGGUUAUGGUUAAAUGGGUAAAUGGUUAUGGUUAAAUAGGUACAUGGUUAUGGGUAUGGAUAACCAUUUAUAAACGGUUAUGGUUAUGGGUAUAACCGUUUAUGCAAUUAUCUAACAGAUAAAUGGUUAUGCGGGUAUGAAUAUAAACGGUUAUGGGUAAAUAACUACAGUUACCUACCCGCCAUAAUCGUUGCUCAUCCCUAGAUUGCUCCAGUAGCUGCAGGUUGGUUCAUUGGAACUGAUUAUUUUGGUUUUGGCACAAUCUGAUAUUUAAUGUGGUAGUAUGUGAUACUAAUAACACACUAUUUUUGAAACCGAAAACCAAAAUAAUUCACACUAUUUCUAGAACUACAACGAAAUAACCCUCACUAUUUCUGAAACUGAAUCAAAAUAAUCAUUGGAAACUACAAUAAAAUAACCCCCACUAUUUUUGAUACUUGUUGUAUUGAUGGUUUUGUUGGGUUUUUAGUUCUUUGAUGAUUUUUUAUUGUAAAUGGCUUCUCAUCAGAAAUUAUUAAACACCGGAUUUGCUAUUUUGGUUGCGUAGCUAUGCAGUUGCUCUCUCCAAUCCAUCUAUCAGUCCACUUGAUUGCUUGGAAUAAUUUGAAGGUAGUUAAUUAAAUUACUUUGCUUCUUUUUCGAUCGACUAUAUAUAUUAGUGCUAGUUGCCUUGGUUAAGACUUUGAACCAGGGUUGGAUGAAGUGAUGGAGGGAGGCAGACAAUGGUGACAUACGGUGGGGAUGGGCGGAGGGGUCGGAUGACGGGUCGUGGACUAAGAAAACGGUGCCCAUUAGUGCUCCCUUGCCUAAGACUUUAAGGGCCCUGACAGUCACCAGCGAGAUCGAGCUCCGGCGAGGUUGGAUGGUGAAUGCGGGGAUAUGGAAAAUGCAGAAAGUGAUUUAAAUUUUUUUUUAUUAUUAAUAUAAUUCUUGUCGAUUUUAUCCGACAGGAAAUGCUUUUAUUUGUUCAUUAGUAAUUUAUUCCUGUCGGUUUUAUCCGACAUGAAAUGGUUUUAUUUGUGCAUUUUUAAUUAAUUUCUGUCGAAUGGUUUAAUCAUUUUCUGUCGGUUUUAGCCGACAAAAAUAAUUUAUUUAUCCGACAUAAUUUCUGUCGAUUUUAGAGUAUUUUCUGUCGGAAAAUUAAUUUCCUGACGCAGGCAAUUCUGUCACUUAUUAUAUCCGCCACUGCAUCCAUUUUCUGUCAGAUUUUACUUAAAAUUCGACAUAAAUAUAUGUUUUUUGUCGGUUUUCAAAACGUCAUUAAUAACUGGUUUCCUAGUAGUGUCAGUUGGGCAUGGAACCGUUAAUUGUACAUCUCAAAUUUCACUUUCUUUGUAACCAUAAUUUCUGACAUUAAAGGAAAAACUGUACAAAUCAUUCUCACCACAUCCAGAAUUAGCCUACAAAUAACUCCAUAUUACACCGAUAAGUGUACCAGGGAUGGCCGUAAAUCCCAUCAUCCACUUUAGGAGAUUUUUUCUUAAACGACCAUUGGGGCAUAAUAUUUAAUUAUCACAUGGAAACAACUUUUUUUAUAAAGGAAAACUAAUGAAAAAGUCUUGAAAACUUUGAGUUUUAACGAUAAGGACAAAAUAAAGAGUAAAGUGAAUAGUAUAAGGAUUGACUUUUUAGUGUAAAAAUAUGGUUUUUCGUUAAAGUGAACAGUACCGGGAGUUUUUUGUUAAAGUUCUCUUUUUAUAAAGCAAGGGUAAGUUGCGUCCGUUAGAUAUUCACCUCGACCUUCGUAAAGCGAUGAACCUUGUUGGCUAAUUAAGCAUCAUAAUGAGCUAAUAAUAAUAUGGUUUAAAUUCACCUUCGGUGAGAAUCGAACAUAAGACCUCUCAAUUACAAAUGAAGAGGAAUACCACUAGACCGUAAUACUAAGUAACAAUUUUUGAGCAAUAUUAAACAUACUACAAUGUGUGUGUAUAUAUAUAUAUUAACAAACGAUAUUAUUUAUACUAAAGGGAGGGGUUAGACUUAACCUCAUAAUAAGCUAGCAAUAAUGUGGUUUAAAUUCUCAUUUAUCAAGAAUUGAACCUAUGACCUCUCAAUUACAAGUGAAAAAGAUUACCACUAAUUAUUCGGAUAUUAAAUAUACAAUGCACUUGUCCUAAAUUAAUUAAUAUAAGAGACCUUUUGAUAUAAUUGAUAAAAAAAAAAAAAAAGGUAGCCGAUCUGCGACGAUUCCUUUAUCUCUUUCCCCUAUCUGUGAAAUCCCAACCCUAGCCCCAAUUUCUGAAACUCUCCAUCUCUCUCCUCCAUGCCCUUUCUAUCUGCUUUCUCGGUUACUCCUGUUGUGGUUCAUGAUGUUGUUCAAGCCAACGUGUCUUUGACAGCUGUGAGUGGAUCGAAAUUCAGAAAUCUCAUAUCUACUUUCUGAGUGGCUCGCCUACUACUAUAUUAAGUGGGUCCUACAUAUAUUUUUAUUAGAAAAUUAGAUUUUAAUCCCUAAAUAAGAAGAAGUUUAGAAAAAUGUUUUAUACAAGAUUAAAAAUUGAUUUUAGUCCCUAGACUCUAUUUAAUGCCAACAAUUGUUUUUAAUGUCUCUUUUUUUAUUUAUAAUUUUAUGAAUUUAAAUUUUAUGAAAAUAUGAUAAAUUUUAAUUCUCAUUAUGGUAAACAUCUUAUAUAAGAAAAUAUUUUCGUAGAAAUUUUUCGGUACACUUAUGUUUUUGCAUAUUUUCUUAUCUGCCACUAAUUCAUUACAAUAUAUUUAGGUACGAACAUUUCGGUACACUGGGUUAGUAUAAUAUGUUUAGGUACAUACAUUUCAGUACACUAGUUUAGUAUAAUGUAUUUAGGUAUCAACAUUUCGGUACACUAGUUUAGUAUCAUAUAGUUAGGUACAAAAUUUUUGGUACACUUAUGUUUUUAUGUCACAUCCCGGCCCGAGUCCUCACCACAUCCCAAGCUCGACUUCACCGUAGCACUAUAUUGUCCACUUUGGGCAUCGACCAUACCCUUACGGUUUUGUCUCUGGGAACUCACACGAGAACUUUCCAAUGGGUCACCUAUCAUGGGAUUACUCUCGCGCGAACUCGCUUAACUUCGAAGUUCCAAUGGAACCCGAAGUCAGUGAGCUCCCAAAAGGUCUCAGGUAGAGAUGAGAAUAUAUAUAUAAGGCAUAGAUAAUCCACUCCCCUGGGCGAUGUGGGAUCUUACAAUCCACCCCCUUAGGGGCCCGACGUCCUCUUCGGCACACUUCCAGCCAAAGAUUGGCUCUGAUACCAAAUUGUCACAUCCCGGCCCAGGCCCCCACCACAUCCCAGAUUCGACUCCACCGUAGCACGAUAUUGUCUUCUUUGGGCCCCAACCACAUCAUCACGAUUUUGUUUUUGGGAGCUCACAUGAGAACUUCCAGUGGGUCACCCAUCAUGGGAUUGCUCUCAAGCAAACUCGCUUAACUUCAGAGUUUCUAUGGAACUCGAAGCCAGUGAGCUCCCAAAAGGUCUUGUGCUAGGUAGAGAUAAGAAUAUACAUAUAAGGCAUAGAUGAUCCACUCCCCUGAGUGAUGUGGGAUCUCACAUUUUACAUAUUUUCUUAUGUGUCACUAAUUCACUACAAUAUGUUUAGGUACGAGCAAUUCAGUAUACUAAUUUAGUAAAAUGUAUUAUGAUACAGACAUUUAGGUACACUAAUUAGAUAAGGUUAAAUACAAUUAAUGAAUUAAAAUGUGUAUAAUAAUAAAUUAAAAAAUUCAAUGUAAUAACAUUAAAUAAAGAAAAUUGUUAUUAGCACUCAAAAAAUCUCAUUCUAUACUACUUACAAAUGUAUUUAUCUUUCUAAUUAUGAAAGUUUGAAGUACCAAAUGAGAUUUUAGGAUGCUAAUAAUAAUUCCUUAAAUAAAUUAUCUAUUAUAUACAAAAACAAAAAUAUAAUAUGAAUUUGAAUUAGGUACACAUUAAGGGAUUAAAACCAAUAUUCAAUCUAAUACCAUAAUUUUAUUAAAUUUUAAUCUUCUUGAAAAUUUAAAGUUCAUAAACCCCUAUUUUUAUUCCUCCAAUGUUAGCAAACACUUCAAUCACUGGAAGAAGUGCAAUUCCAAUUUCUUACAUUCAAUUCCCCUUACGUAAACACGUUAUUAAUCAGGUCAACAUGCAAGGAGGAGGGAGAGUUUGAAAAGAAAAAAAAGGGACGGAAAAAAGAAAUGGGACAGAAAAAAUAGAGAGAAAAUGUCUUGAUGGAAAGAAGAAAAAAGAAAAAAAAACAAAGAGAAAGAGGAGAGAGAGAGAGAGAGUCUGAUUGAAGGAAGAAAAAUAAGAGAAAAAGAAGAGAAAAAAAAAAGGGAAAGGAAGAAAAGGGAAAGGAAGAGAGAGACAUAUGUAGAGAAGAAAAAGAGAGAAGGAAGAGAGAACAGGACCGAAAAAAAAAAAGAGAAAGGGACGGAAAAAAAAAGCAAAGAAAAAGGAGAGAAAAAGAGAGGGAAGAGAGGAGGGGACCAGAAAAAACAGAGAAAAGACGGAAAAAAAAAAGCAAAGAAAAAGGAGAGAGAAUCUGCUGGAAAGAAGAAAAAGAAGAGAUAAAAAUGAGAAAAAGGGGCGGACAAAAACAAAGAGAAAGGAAGCAAGAGAGAGAGAGAGAAUGAAGGAAAGAAGAAAAAGAAGAGAGAAGGACGAAAGAAAGGGAGGGGAAAAAGAGUUUGAUGGAAAGAAGGAAAAAAAAGAUGAGGAAGAGAGAAGGGGACGGGAAAAAAACAAAGAGAAAGGAAGAGAGAGUUUGAUGGAAUAAGAAAAAGAAGACAGAAGGAAGAGAGAAAGGACGGAAAAAAUGGGGAAAGGACGAGAGCAUGAUGGAAAGAAGAAAAAGAAGAGCUACGGUGCAUGGAAAAAAGAAAAAAACCAAAGAGAAAGAUGAGAGAGAGAGAGAGAGUCUGAUGGAAGGAAGAAAAAGAAGAGAAAAAGAGACAUAUGUAGAGAAGAAAAAGAGAGAAAGAAGAGAGAACAAAAAGAAGAGAAAAAGAGACAUAUGUAGAGAAGAAAAAGAGAGAAGGAAGAGAGAACAGGACCGAAAAAAAAAGGAUCGGAAAAAAAAAAGGAAAACUAAUAAAAAGGGAUUGAAAAUUUUGAGUUUUAAUGAUAAAGAUAAAAUAAAGGGUAAAUUGAAUAGUAUCAAGAUUGACUUUUUAGUGUAAAAAUGUGGUUUUUCGUUAAAGUGUAAAAAAAAAAGAACGGAAAAAAAAGGCAAAGAAAAAGGAGAGAGAAAAAGAGAGGGAAGAGAGAAGGGGACCAGAAAAAACAGAGAGAAAAGACGGAAAAAAAAAGCAAAGAAAAAGGAGAGAGAGAAUCUGCUGGAAAGAAGAAAAAGAAGAGAUAAGAAUGAGAAAAAGGGGCGGACAAAAACAAAGAGAAAGGAAGCAAGAGAGAGAGAGAGAGAGUGAAGGAAAGAAGAAAAAGAAGAGAGAAGGACGAAAGAAAGGGAGGGGAAAAAGAGAGAGAGAGUUUGAUGGAAAGAAGGAAAAAAAAAAGAUGAAGAAGAGAGAAGGGGACGGGUAAAAAACGAAGAGAAAGGAAGAGAGAGUUUGAUGGAAUAAGAAAAGAAGAGAGAAAGGACGGAAAAAAUGGGGGAAAGGACGAGAGCAUUAUGGAAAGAAGAAAAAGAAGAGCUACGGUGCAUGGACAUGAUGGUAUUAUUCCUGUGUCGCAUUUUUUUGGUCAUAAAAUAAUUUCUUUUGUUAAUUUGACGUAUACUCGUAUCAUGUUCUGUCAUAAUUCUGUGUCCGCAACCAUGCAUCAUAAAAGAACAAAGAAGGAAGAUAAAGGGAUGGAGGAAGGAAGAGUGAGAGAGAGACAGAGAACCGCUGCAGUUGUUCAGAAAGUGGUGGGUUGAGUUUUUAUUUUUGUGAAAUGAUUAGUUAAUAAAAUCUUUGAGAUUUAACAAAGAUUUAAUAUUUAUUGUUGGAGAUGCUCGAGUCAUCAGAAAUGGACAAUACUUAGUACUGACUGUUGAGUACCCAAAAUAUUGACCUAAUGACAUGCCUAGAAAUAUUAAAACAUCUUUCAUUUAAAGCUCUCCCCAAACAUUUGUGGUCUUGUUAACCAAACACCUAACUUUCAUCCUGAGCUCAUAACCAAACACCCAUCUUCUUCCUAUUUGUUUGAGUAAAUUAUAGUUGUGAUCCCUAAACUAUGACUGAACUAUGGUACCUCAAUUAAAAAUUUAUUAGUUUUGGUUCUUUAAUUUGACAAAAGGUGUAACAUUGGUCAUUCCAUGCUAACUAUUAAGUUUUCUGUCAAAAUGAUGACAUGGUAGGCACAUGGAACCCAUGAUUAAUAUUAUAAUAUGAAAAUUUAAAACAUAGAAAAUUAAAAAAAAAAAAAUCCUUUAUCUCCUUCACUAGUAACAAUGACGCCAACACCAAACCUUGUACUUAAUUUUCUCUAUCCUACAAACCUCGUACCCAAUUCCCUCUUCAAAAUCCAAUCAGAACUUUAAUACCAAAACUCAUCGCAAGCAUCAUACCCACCGCUACAUUUGGUGCAGGAUUGGUUAUAGAAUGCGACUGGAAUGUUGGGGGUGGGACUACGAUGGUGAAGGGUCGGUUGUGGCGUGCGGUUGAGAGAGAUAAAAAAGUGAGUGUUGCGAAUUGGGGAAGAUAGGGCUGGACACGGGUUGGGCCGGGCCCGAUUUUGAAAGGAUCAGACUAGACUCAGGUGCAAAAGAGACUGGCGGGGUCGGAGAUAACAUAUUUUAAUAAAGGAACCGGACCUAACCCGGCCUGGUUGAAAUGAGCUGGGGCCACAAGUCCUUUUUUUUUUUUUUUUUUUUUUUUGCGAAACUGCCACCUUCUUCGACAUCUCCACCUCCCUCCUCCAAGGCUAUGCCAUCCUCGCAAUCCUUGCAGCAAAAAUGCAGAGAAAAUUAGCAAAACCCAGAUUGGGGGUUGGGGCUAAAAGCUAAAAAUGCAUGAUUUGUGGAAAACCUAGCUGGGAUUAAGAACUUGAAGAAGAAGAAGCAGAAUGUUUGGGGAGAGAGAGGGAGUCCCGACCCUCUACGUCACCUACGACCACAACAUCCAUUCUGCCAACCCUUUUAGCCGACGCCACGAGCGAGUCCCGAUCAAGCCCUUCUACAACUCAAUGAACUCACCCAUCGAUUUCGUCCCUGCUGUCAACUUCCUUGACGACCGCUACUUCUCUGACGUUGACGAAAAGAUUGAGGCAAGGAGGGAGACGUUGAGCGGUCAAGCUCCCCGAUUUGAGAGGAAGGAGAUUGAGAAUCGACAGGAGAGGAAUGGGAAAAUGUUACAAACAAGCCGGUCCGGGUACCUUUUUUUUUAUACUUCUUGAACCGGCCCACCCCUAAAAUUUCAAAGCCCCGCCCUGCCCUGCCUUGUUUCUCUUUUUAAAAAUUAAAAACCAGCCCGUAUCCUCCUCGAACUGUAAUUACCCGCCCCAAACUGUGAUUACCUGCCCCGACCCACGGUUCAUGUACCUAUUUGCCCACCCCUAGGGGAAGAUGGAAGUAAGGCGUGAGGUAUGGUGGGACAACACCCAUCUCGAACAUUUCUUUUUAUUUUUUAUGCCAAUAGUUUAAAGUGUUUUGUUUCAAUUCUUAUAAGUGAAUAAUGUGAAUGCAAAUUUUCGCCGUUUCUUUUUUUGACAAAAAUGCACUUAUAAAAUAAUAACACAUAAGAUUAAGACCAAAAGCCUCACGCGCUUAGGUAGGCCUGGCUGGUGACAAUGCUGCUUAGGAUGGGGCAACUGUAGAUGAAGUGCAGGAGGUUGAUGUUGCUGAGAGAGAUGCGGCUGCUAAAGAUGUCCAAGUUGUUGAGGAGUAGUCUUUCUAGAUAAACUUUAGGAUUUACUGUCUUUUCCUUUCCUUUCCUUGAACUCUGUUGGCCUUCGUGCCAGUUUACCAAUUUGCUAGAAAUUAAUAAACUGUUUUUCUUCGCUUUACUUCAUUCUCAUCUUUUUGCCUUGCUUCAAACUUUUGCCGUAAAAUGAACAAUUGAGCAAGCUGCUUUGAACAAAGCAGUUAAGCACAUCUCCCUUGCUUUAGGAGCAACGUCCCAUUCAUUGCUCAAUAGUUUGGUUGACAAGUGAGAUCUCGCGGAAAUGUAAAAAAUCACUACAUAAAGAUUGUCUGUUGCAAUCUCCAAUAGUGUCAUACAUGUAAUCAUGAUUGCUCUGAGCACUCAACGAAAGAAACAUUUAGGGAAAAUUAUGUGAUGAUGUAGUUGAACCAUGUCUUAUUUUGGCACCAAUAAUCUGAGAGAUAUUCUUUUGUUUCUACUAUACUCAAUUACUUGACUAAUUUUAUAACACUUUUUAGGUGACUAAUGAGUAAAUCUAUAUAUCUAGAGGGAACAACAAAUUUGCGAGUUUAAUAAUGUCAUAGACAGAACAAGAUAUGGUUAGAUGAAACGGCAAUUUGCUCGUGGAUCCAAUAUAUAACUCAUAUUAGUGAAAAGCUGACUGUGCCACGUGCGCUUAGGCAAGUGGCUCUAUUGGGAUUAGGAUCCUAGCCCGAUCAUUUUGUAGAGAUUCGGAUGAUCAAUCAAUUGUGUUUAUUCAUCGUACAUCGUGUAAUAAUAAAAUAUUUUAAAUUUUUUAUUUAAAAUUAAAUACAAACAAUAUUUAAUGAAACUGACCGCACAAUAUACGAUGAAUGAGCAUGAUUAAUUGAUCAUCUAGAUUUUCACAAAAAGAAUAUGAAGAGGAUCCUCAUCCCUCUUAUUUACCUUGUACUAGUCAGAAAAUCCGAGUCUAUUGGAAAUUGAGUUAUUUACUUGAAAAAAGAAGAAUGAAUUGAUUUAAUUUUUUUUUUUUUUUUUUUGUCAUUAGUUAAAUUUGGGGGUGGGGGGAUUCGAACCUUGGAUGAGGUGGGAGUUUUCUUGGCUCUAGUGCCACUGCACUAGGCCUCCAUCCUCGAUUUAAUUUUUAUUGACAUGCAUACUUUAUGGGGUCAAUAGUGAUGGAUGUACCGGUCAAUGGUAAGAGUCCACUUUACUUGGACAUCUUUGCUUUAUCCCUUGCUGGUCAAUGGUAAGAGUCCACUUUUUUUUUUAAACCAGUAAGAGUCCACUUCACUUGGACAUCUUUGCUUUGAGUGGAAGACCUUGAAUCGUUCGAUUUAUAAAGACUGGAUCGAAACCUCAUGGAAAGUUUGAAAAGAAUUACGAUCUAGGCAAAAAAAAAAAAAAAAAAAAAAAGAGUGAGAGAGAGAAAAAAAUUUACACUCAAGGCACAAUGGGUUGAAGAAGAAGACCUUAUUACUAAAACAAUCCAACACUUGCCAAUAGUUUUCUUUUUAGUAGUUUAUUUAUUUCCUCAUAUAAAUCAAUGUGUAAUCACCAUUAUCUUAUUUGAUUUUGAUUGAGGUAUGUAUUAAACUUGAGACGUAUUUCGACAUUCUAGAAGAGAUAUGACUAGACCAAUCUCUCUAGUUGGUAACGUCACUCAUCCUAAAGUGAUUGUUGUUCAAGAAAAAGUGAAUUUUCACUAAUAAUUCAUCAUUCCAAUAUCCACAUCGUGCAAUUAUCGCCCUCAAUAUGUAAAAGUACUCGGAAAAAAAAGAAAGAAGAAGAAUGCUACAAAAACAUAUCAAUUUGAAUGGGAAACUGAGUCUUCCCGGCCCUAGGAAGGGGUGGAUAAUCGUGGCUUGCCACUAGUUGUUUUUUUUUUUUUAAAGAAUGGGAAACUGAGAACCUAGAAACUUUGAAGGAUCAUAACUAAGCAAGCAUGGCAACAAUAUGUCUAUCGAAGCUAGUUAAGAACUGUGGUGUAAGAACUUGAGGAAAGAUUUUUGCAUAAAAGUUUUAUGGAAAAGUAAUGCAUAUGGCCAGGCCAGACAUUGGUUUCAAGUGAAAAACCAAGCAAUCCAACAAACCUCGAAUGUAAUUACGUAGUCGGACAAACACCUCGAGCUAUCGAGCACAUAUGGUACUUAGGUACAAUGGUUACACUUCUCAGGAGUCCUUAUUAACAUACAUAAGUGUGUGCGCACAUAACUAUCUAUAUAUCUAAGUAGAUAUGUUACUCUAAUUCAGCAAUAGCUUCUAACUGAAUGUUUAGAUUUCUUGCAGGUGUAGUUGCAUUUGUUCGUGCAGGACCUGUAGAUGCAAAAGGAUUGGGAGGCAUGGUUAAGUUUUCUCCUCCUUCCAGCAUUUGAACAACUUCUUUCAUGGAAGGACGACCCGCUGGAUGCCACUGGAUGCACCAGAGCCCUACAAUUGCGAGUUUCUUUGGAGUUUUACCAUCUCCUUCCUCCCCAAGAUGGAUUCGUAGGUCGUCUCCUUCUUCUAGGAGAUUAUAGAUCCAUUCUGGAUAGUAAAUUUCAGUUGGGAUUGCUGAGGUUGAAUCAAUAUUCUUCCUUCCCCCUACCAUCUCAAGCAGCAGCAUUCCAAAACUAUAGACGUCCGACUUAUAGGACACAUUUCCAAAGUUCCUGGAGAACACUUCAGGUGCAAUGUAGCCCAUAGUCCCUCUAGCUGUAGUCAUGGACACUAUGCUUUGAUCCUUAGAACACAACUUGGCCAAACCAAAAUCAGAAAUUUUUGGAGUGAAAUUGUCGUCUAAUAAAACAUUAUGAGGCUUGAUGUCGAAAUGGAGGAUUCGUUGCUCACAUUCCUGAUGAAGAUAAUAAAUUCCCUUGGCUACAGCAAGAGCAAUAUCUUGCAACUUGUCCCAACCAAGGAAACGAUUGUUAUUGUCUGCCGAUGAAAUGAAAUCGUGCAGUGAACCAUUGGCGAAGAACUCAUAAACGAGAGCUCUGUUAAACCCAUCAGCACAGAAACCAACCAAACGAACCACGUUGACAUGGUGGAUACUUCCCAUCAUUCCAACUUCCCUUAUGAAAUCUUCCCCAUUUCCGUUGGAACUAUUGAGAACUUUUACAGCAACAAAGCAUUCAGAAGAAAGUUUUCCUUUGAAAACAGUUCCAUAGGCUCCUUGGCCUAACUUGUCCUGGAAUUGGUUUGUGAUCCUCUUAAUAUCUGCAUAGGAAUACCUGCUUGGUUUCUGAGCGUUGUAAUCUUCUAAAAACUUUUCAAUCUUCAAUUGACUCUCCUUUUCUUUUCGAUUAGACCUAUAGACACGAUAGGCUGCAACGACCAGCAGAAGUAAUACAACAAAUGAUCCCAGGGUUGUACCUGAAUCAAACAAAUCCUUGAGUAAAUAAUAAUAUUCCCGACGGUCUAGCUAGACAUGAAAUAAAAUAAAAAACCGUCAGACUACUCACCACCUACGGCGGCAAAUUUCCAUGUUACACCUGAAAAAAGCAUUGACAAAUUUAGUAAUAGUGAUGAUCUACUGCUCGGGCAAAUUUAGUAAUAGAAGAAAACAAAUUACUCUUUGCCUAUUCAUUUGAAAUUCAUAUCAAAUGCGUUGCAUCUAGUUGUUUGAAAUAUGUUCAGUCGGAUGCUUACUAGAUAAGUAAGCAGCAAGUGCAAUAAUAUAGCAGAAUAUAUGUAAAAUAAAACCAAGAUUGAAAAUGUAGGCAGACUUACUAGGUUUGCUCAAGCGAACACAUUGAAUUUCAGUGUUGGUGUGGUUGUACUUGAUUCUACACUUGUUGCCCUCUGCCUCACACUCUCUACAAUUUGGUUUCUUCCAUUUCAAAUUAGGAACCUCACUAUAAUAAUAGUACAUCUGUGGAAUCGACAAAACAUCGUACAUCUUUGUACACGACUCUAGGAGCGGAUAGUACAUAGUUUCGUAGGAAGAUUCAAUGGCAUAAACUCUGUAGCCAGGGCCACUAAUGCAGGGGACUUUAGCACCGUCUAACUCUCUUUCAACAGGACAGUGGAAUAAGGUAGCGUUGGAAGGCAUGGAUUCUUGGAAGUAGAAUUGAGAGGCUGGCAAUGACAUGUUGAUGUUAUCAACUUCUAAAGGCUUUAACAGCAGGCAUUUACGCGGGUGAUAGACUUGGACUUCCUGAUGCUUGUAAUCUAUGCGCUUCACCAAGAAUUUCACCACUACCGCUCGGUGCUCCUGUCCGUAGUCAGCCUCAUUCGCAUGGCAAUCAGAUGUCGGACUACAGGGAUGUCCACGGCGAAACAGAAUAUGGAUGGCCUCGCCAUGAUCCCCGCAUUUGGAUUUUUCACAAGCAGAGGCAUUCUGGGUUGUUCCGAGCAAUGUUAACAAAGUAAUUGAGAAUAUGCGAACCCAAGAGAUAUUGAGCUGUUGCUGCUGCAUUUCUGAGGUAUUUUUUUUCCAAGGAGAAGAACAAAUAUAUGUUAAUAGUUUAACACAAAGACUUUGUAGAGUUCCUGACCAUAAAAUGCAAUUGAUCUACGGGUUAACCCCAAAGACCACGUCACGGAAGCCUAGAAAGUAUUUACUGUUUUGGUCAAUACUUAAUUCCACAGCGGAAAGAGAGAGCCAUUCCUCUUUACCUGCCACUUUCAAUCUAUACAACAACAACAACAAAGCCUUUUCCCACUAAGUGGGGUCGGCUAUAUGAAUCCUAGAACACCAUUGCGCUCGGUUUUGUGUCAUGUCCUUCGUUAGAUCCAAGUACUCUAAGUCUUUUCUUAGAGUCUCUUCCAAAGUUUUCCUAGGUCUUCCUCUACCCCUUCGGCCCUGAACCUCUGUCCCGUAGUCACACCUUCGAACCGAAGCGUCAGUCGGCCUUCUUUGCACAUGUCCAAAUCACCGGAGCCGAUUUUCUCUCAUCUUUCCUACAAUUUCGGCUACUCCUACUUUACCUCGGGUAUCCUCAUUCCCAAUCUUAUCCUUUCUCGUGUGCCCACACAUCCCACGAAGCAUCCUCAUCUCCGCUACACCCAUUUUGUGUACGUGUUGAUGCUUCACCGCCCAACAUUCUGUGCCAUAAAACAUCGCUGGCCUUAUUGCCGUCCUAUAAAAAUUUCUCUUGAGCUUCAGUGGCCUACGACGGUCACACAACACGCCGGAUGCACUCUUACACUUCAUCCAUCCAGCUCGUAUUCUAUGGUUGAGAUCUCCAUCUAAUUCUCCGUUCUCUUGCAAGAUAGAUCCUAGGUAGCGAAAACGGUCGCUUUUUGUGAUCUUCGCUAGAUUGCUCCGGUCAUUAGUGUGGAUAAGUAUAUAAAUGGAUAAAGAUAAGAAAGCAAACACAAGAUGUACGUGGUUCACCCAGAUUGGCUACGUCCACGGAAUAGAAGAGUUCUCAUUAAUUGUGAAGGGUUUACACAAGUACAUAGGUUCAAGCUCUCCUUUAGUGAGUACAAGUGAAUGAUUUAGUACAAAUGACAUUCGGAAAUAUUGUGGGAGAAUGAUCUCGUAACAUCUUCUCUGGAAGUACUCUUCCUCCAUCCAGGGGUGGUAUCUUUAACUGGUGGAGAUGCACAAGGUAAUGUAUCAAUUGCACUUGAAGCUUACUUGUAGUUUCAGGCUUGGUCAAGCGCGAUACAAACCAUGUAGUAGGAGUCCCCCAAGUCGCCGAGCUAGGGGGUCUGCUGAAAGAGGUGACAGACAAGGUAAGCAAUCAGAGCUCCGACUGAUUGUUCACCUUCUCCCCAUCUUGCAGCAGCAUGAAGGAUAAAGAGAAGAAAAAUGAGAAGAGAUGAUAUGAGAUACUUUUGCUUUUGAAGAAGUAACUUUCCACAGGCUUAUUCUUGAACUGAGCUGGAGGGUUUUUUGGUUUCCUCCAGAGUAUAAGGCCGACUGAAGAAUUUGAGGGUCAAAACAAGUCCAUCAAAUCUAGAGUACGUUCCACCCUGCUGAUAUGGGAUACUUUUGCUUUUGACAGAGUAAUGGAUGUAUCGGCACGUGUGCUGUUACGCUUGUCUCCACAUGCUUCCUUGUAUCCUUCGCACUUGCCCUAUCUGUUCCUCAAGCAGAUGCGGAAUCUUCCCUGGAAACAUAACAUGUUGAAGAUGAGUACUCGAGAGCAAUGCCAGGUAAGUAAUCAGGUAAGGGGUUCCAGGCAGUCAGUUCCUGGCUGGAAGCUUGAUUCCAAGUGCUGACUGAUUGCUCUCUUUCUCCUUGUCUUGCAGGUAAAAACAAGGUCAAAGGAAAAGACAGGGAAAAAGCAUGAUAUGGGAUACUCUUGCUUUUAACCCUGAUGAUAUGAGAUAUUCUUGCUCUAGUAUAGCUUGUUUGCAGAGGUAUUAUCGGGGGAAAGAAAAAGCUGAAUAUUUCGAAAGGCUUCGUUGGGAGUGCCCUCUCAGAUAUGAUGAAGGGUUGAGCAUUUUUGCAGGUCUGCCUGUCCGUUGGGGAUGGAAGUCGACAUAUAUAGGAGUCUCCCUAACAACAAGUAGUAAUGCUAUUCCUUUACCCUGCUUGGUCAUAGCACGGUAGUGGGAGCUGCUAGUUUCACAUGUUUUAACUCUGUCAGAGCACUUUGAAAAAGUGGCCUGUGGUAUCUGGCUCUCGAGAUUCGGAAAACGAUGCCUCUUCGAUUUUUGAGAAAGCAAUCAUGCUGGGGGUCUGGCUCUCGAGAUUCGGAGAGCAGUGUCUCUUCGAUUUUUGAGGAAGUAAUCAUGUUGGGAGUCUGGCUCUUGAGAUUCGGAGGGCGGUGCCUCUUCGAUUUUGGAGCAAGCAAUCCUGUUGGGAGUGUUGUCUCGAAUGUGAGUAAAGGUUGGGCAUGUUUGCUAGUCUACCUUGCCACGAAGCACAAAGGUUGACACACAGGGACUUUCCAAUUAUCCAGCAAUGGUACUGUUCCUUUACCCUCUCUUCGCUUUUGAGAAAGUAGUCAUGUUGGGAGUCUGGCUCUCGAGAUUCGGAGGACAGUGCCUCUUCGAUUUUGGAGCAAGCAAUCUUAUUGGGAGUGUUUUCUCGAAUGUGAGUAAAGGUUGGGCAUGUUUGCUAGUCUACCUUGCCACGAAGCACAGAGGUUGACACACAGGAACUUUCCAAUUAUCCAGCAGUGGUACUGUUCCUUUACCCUUAUGGGUAAUAAUAUGGUAGCUAGACCUUCAAAAUUUAUGUGUCUAAACUUUGUUAGUGCUGUUUCUUUGCUAUUCUUUUACCUUUCUUGGUCAGAGCGAUGUAGUGGGAGCUGCAAGCUUCACGUGCUCAACUUUGGCAGAGAACUUUGGCAAAGUUAUCUGUGGUACCCAUGAGCUAUUGUUGCGUGUGACAGGUGCUGACAAGGCUAGAAAAGUAGGUGCAUCUUCGAUUUCUGAGAUCGGCCCUCGUGGUCUCUGAGCAGCCCAGCUUUUGAGAAAGCGAGCGCCUCUUCGAUUGAUUCGGAGAACGAUGCCUCAUCGAUUUUUGAGAAAGCAAUCAUGCUGGGGUCUGGCUCUCGAAGAUUCGGGAAGCAGUGUCUCUUCGAUUUUUGAGAAAGUAAUCAUGUUGGGAGUCUGGCUCUCGAGAUUCGGAGGGCGGUGCCUCUUCGAUUUUAGAGCAAGCAAUCUUGUUGGGAGUGUUUUCUCGAAUGUGAGUAAAGGUUGGGCAUGUUUGCUAGUCUACCUUGCCACGAAGCACAGAGGUUGACACACAGGGACUUUCCAAUUAUCCAGCAAUGGUACUAUUCCUUUACCCUCUCUUCGAUUUUUAAGAAAGUAGUCAUGUUGGGAGUCUGGCUCUCGAGAUUUGGAGGACGGUGCCUCUUCGAUUUUGGAGCAAGCAAUCUUAUUGGGAGUGUUUUCUCGAAUGUGAGUAAAGGUUGGGCAUGUUUGCUAGUCUACCUUGCCACGAAGCACAGAGGUUGACACACAGGGACUUUCCAAUUAUCCAGCAGUGGUAUUGUUCCUUUACCCUUGUGGGUAAUAAUAUGGUAGCUAGACCUUCAAAAUUUAUGGGUCUAAACUUUGUUAGUGCUGUUUCUUUGCUAUUCUUUUACCCUUCUUGGUCAGAGCGAUGUAGUGGGAGCUGCAAGCUUCACGUGCUCAACUUUGGCAGAGAAACUUUGGCAAAGUUAUCUGUGGUACCCGUGAGCUAUUGUUGCGUGUGGGAAGUGGGUGAUUGAACAGUAAGAUUCAUGUGUUUUCUACUUCCCCAGAAGUCUUCGACAGAAUGCCCAUAAUUUCCGCAAAGCUGAGUGUGCGUGUGACAGGUGCUGACAAGGCUGGAAAAGUAGGUGCCUCUUCGAUUUCUGAGAUCGGCCCUCGUGGUCUCUGGGGAGCCCAGCUUUUGAGAAAGCGAGCGCCUCUUCGAUUUCUGAGAUCGGCCUUCGUGGUCUUUGAGCAGCCCAACUUUUGAGAAAGCAAACGCCUCUUCGAUUUCUGAGAUCAACCCUCGUGAUCUCUAAGCAGCCCAACUUUUGAGAAAGCAAACGCCUCUUCGAUUUCUGAGCAGGCGCCUCUUUCGAUUUCUGAAGCUCCGUCGAGUGCAGAUUUUUAUAGGGGCUGGCAUUAAGUUCCAAAGCACACUUGAAUCUCCACCAGUAGAAGCUUCCUUCUUGCACUUCUAAGAUCUUGAUUUGUCCGACCUCUUCUCUCUUCAACACCUUUGAAAAUGUCUGGCCCCUCCGAUCGUCGUUUUGACUUGAACCUUGUUGAAGAGGCAGCCCCGCCUUCUCCAGACAACAUAUGGCGCCCAUCCUUCGUCUCCCCUACUGGUCCUCUUACCGUUGGGGAUUCUGUGAUGAAGAAUGAUAUGACCGCUGCGGUGGUGGCCAGGAACCUUCUCACUCCCAAAGAUAACAGACUACUUUCCAAACGGUCUGAUGAGUUAGCAGUUAAGGAUUCGCUGGCUCUCAGUGUUCAGUGUGCAGGUUCUGUGUCUAAUAUGGCCCAACGCCUAUUUGCUCGAACCCGCCAAGUUGAAUCAUUGGCGGCUGAAGUGAUGAGUCUCAAACAGGAGAUUAGGGGGCUCAAGCAUGAGAAUAAACAGUUGCACCGGCUCGCACAUGACUAUGCUACAAACAUGAAGAGGAAGCUUGACCAGAUGAAGGAAACUGAUGGUCAGGUUUUACUUGAUCAUCAGAGAUUUGUGGGUUUGUUCCAAAGGCAUUUAUUGCCUUCGUCUUCUGGGGCUGUACCGCAUAAUGAAGCUCCGAAUGAUCAACCUCUGAUGCCUCCUCCUUCUAGGGUUCUGUCCAGUACUGAGGCUCCAAAUGAUCCCCCUCCGGUGCCUUCUCUUUCUGGGGCUCUACCGACUGCUGAGACUUCUCCUAAGCAACCUUUGUGAAGGCUCCCUCUUGUGUGUUUAUUUUGACUCAUGCAUAUGUACAUAUUUGUAGCUUAUCGAGGAUAUCAAAAUAAGCUUUCCUUCAUUUCAACGUAUUGUGUUAAAUACACCAAAGCCUUCUUCUCUAAGUUCUUUGAAUUUUCUUUUGUUGAAGCUUGUAUGUUGAAGCUUUCUGAGUGGAGCAUGUAGGUUGGGGUAGUGUUCCCUUAAUUUCCCGAGUGAGGAAAACUUCUCGGUUGGAGACUUGGAAAAUCCAAGUCACUGAGUGGGAUCGGCUAUAUGAAUCUUAGAACGCCAUUGUGCUCGAUCCUGUGUCAUGUCCUUCGUUAGAUCCAAGUACUCUAAGUCUUUUCUUAGAGUCUCUUCCAAAGUUUUCCUAGGUCUUCCUCUACCCCUUCGGCCCUGAACCUCUCUGUCCCAUAGUCGCAUCUUCUAAUCGGAGCGUCAGUAGGCCUUCUUUGCACAUGUCCAAACCACCGUAACCGAUUUUCUCUCAUCUUUCCUUCAAUUUCGGCUACUCCUACUUUACCCCGGAUAUCCUCAUUCCUAAUCUUAUCCUUUCUCGUGUGCCCACACAUCCAACGAAGCAUCCUCAUCUCCCGCUACACCCAUUUUGUGUACGUGUUGAUGUUUCACCGCCCAACAUUCUGUGCCAUACAGCAUCGCCGGCCUUAUUGCCGUCCUAUAAAAUUUUCCCUUGAGCUUCAGUGGCAUACGGCGGUCACACAACACGCCGGAUGCACUCUUCCACUUCAUCCAUCCAGCUUGUAUUCUAUGGUUGAGAUCUCCAUCUAAUUCUCCGUUCUUUUGCAAGAUAGAUCCUAGGUAACGAAAACGGUCGCUCUUUGGUAUUUCUUGAUCUCCGAUCCUCACCCCUAACUCGUUUUGGCCUCCAUUUGCACUGAACUUGCACUCCAUAUAUUCUGUCUUUGAUCGGCUUAGGCGAAGACCUUUAGAUUCCAACACUUCUCUCCAAAGGUUAAGCUUUGCAUUUACCCCUUCCUGAGUUUCAUCUAUCAACACUAUAUCGUCUGCGAAAAGCAUACACCAAGGAAUAUCAUCUUGAAUAUGUCAUGUUAACUCAUCCAUUACCAACGCAAAAAGGUAAGGACUUAAGGAUGAGCCUUCAUGUAAUCCUACAGUUAUGGGAAAGCUUUCGGUUUGUCCUUUAUGAGUUCUUACGGCAGUCUUUGCUCCUUCAUACAUAUCCUUUAUAGCUUGGAUAUAUGCUACUCGUACUCCUUUCUUCUCUAAAAUCCUCCAAAUAAUGUCUCUUGGGACCCUAUCAUACGCUUUUUCCAAAUCUAUAAAGACCAUGUGUAAAUCCUUUUUCCCAUCUCUAUAUCUUUCCAUCAAUCUUCGUAAGAGAUAGAUUGCCUCCAUGGUUGAGCGCCCUGGCAUGAACCCGAAUUGGUUGUCCGAAACCCGUGUCUCUUGCCUCAAUCUAUGCUCAAUGACUCUCUCCCAGAGCUUCAUUGUAUGACUCAUUAACUUAAUACCCCUAUAGUUCAUGCAAUUUUGUACGUCGCCCUUAUUCUUGUAGAUAGGCACCAAAGUGCUCGUUCGCCACUCAUUUGGCAUCUUCUUCGUUUUCAAAAUCCUAUUGAAAAGGUCAGUGAGCCAUGUUAUACCUGUCUCUCCCAAAAGUUUUCCACACUUCGAUUGGUAUAUUGUCUGGGCCUAUUGCUUUUUUAUGCUUCAUCUUCUUCAAAGCUACAACCACUUCUUCCUUUCGGAUUCGACGAUAAAAAGAGUAGUUUCUACACUCUUCUGAGUUACUCAACUCCCCUAAAGAAGCACUCAUUUCAUGUCCUUCAUUGAAAAGAUUAUGAAAAUAACCUCUCUCCAUCUGUCUUUAAUCGCGUUCUCUGUAGCAAGAACCUUUCCAUCCUCAUCCUUGAUGCACCUCACUUGGUUUAGGUCCCUUGUCUUCUUUUCCCUUGCUCUAGAUAGUUUAUAGAUAUCCAACUCUCCUUCUUUGGUAUCUACUCGUUUAUACAUAUCGUCGUAAGCCGCUAACUUAGCUUCUCUGACAGCUUUCUUCGCCUCUUGCUUUCGUUUUUCUAUACCUUUCACCAUUUUCAUCGGUCCUCUCCUUGUAUAAGGCUUUACAACAUUCCUUCUUAGCCUUCACCUUUGUUUGUACCUCCUCAUUCCACCACCAAGAUUCCUUUUGGUGUGGGGCAAAGCCCUUGGACUCUCCUAAUACCUCUUUUGCUACUUUUUCGGAUACAACUAGCCAUGGAAUCCCACAUUUGGCUAGCUUCCCCCUCUCUAUCCCACACACAUUGGGUGAUUACCUUCUCUUUGAAAAUGACUUGUUUUUCUUCUUUUAGAUUCCACCAUCUAGUCCUUGGGCACUUCCAAGUCUUGUUCUUUUGUCUUACUCUUUUGAUAUGUACAUCCAUCACCAACAAGCGAUGUUGAUUAGCCACGCUCUCUCCUGGUAUAACUUUGCAAUCCUUACAAGUUAUACGAUCCCCUUUCCUCAUUAGAAGAAAAUCUAUUUGUGUUUUUGACGACCCACUCUUGUAGGUGAUCACAUGUUCUUCUCUCUUCUUAAAGAAGGUGUUGGCUAAGAAGAGAUCAUAUGCCAUUGCAAAAUCCAAGAUAGCUUCCCCAUCCUCGUUUCUCUCCCCAAAACCAUGGCCACCAUGAAAACCUCCAUAGUUGCCUGUCUCCCUGCCCACGUGUCCAUUUAAAUCUCCUCCUAUAAAUAACUUCUCCGUCUGAGCAAUUCCUUGCACCAAGUCUCCAAGAUCUUCCCAAAAUUUCUCCUUCGAACUCGUAUCCAACCCUACUUGAGGUGCGUACGCACUAAUCACAUUGAUAAGUUCUUGUCCUAUUACAAUCUUGAUUGCCAUGAUUCUAUCUCCUACCCUCUUGACAUCUACAACAUGUUGUACCAAGGUCUUGUUCACGAUGAUGCCAACACCGUUUCUCGUUCUAUUUGUGCCCGAAUACCAAAGUUUAAACCCUGAGUUUUCUAGAUCCUUUGCCUUACUACCAACCCACUUAGUUUUCUUGUAGGCACAUAUAAUAUUUAUCCUUCUCCUCACCAUAACUUUCACUACUUCCAUAGAUUUUCCCGUUAAGGUUCCUAUAUUCCACGUUCCUAAACGCAUUUUGCUCUCUUGAACUCUACCCUUCUGUCCUAGCUUCUUCAUCCUCCCCCUAAUAGGAUCAAGGUACAACUUCUUUUUGUGUGUCCCGGGUAAAGUUGAUAGGAGCAUAUGCUCCCAAACAACUUUGAGUGGAGUCGUUCGAAAAAGAAGUUUCUAUGGCCCCUUGCUCAUUUAACACUGCAUCCGGGUGCCGAUGGAGAUGCCGAUGAGCGACCUACAGCUUGACCCUCUCACUUAUCACUGUGCUCGGGCCACACAGCGCGCCACUUACGGGUGACGCCCUAGCUUUAGCGCGAUUUUGUUCUGGAUUCAUUUUCAUAAGGAUUCGACGUGAUCAUGGAGUGCCGGCUGUCGACUACCUGACGCCCUCCCCCUCCUCCUUUAUCCGGGCUUGGGACCGGCCAUGUAAGACAUGGGCGGAGUUACUUUCAAUCUAUACAUGUGUAAAAUCUUUUCUUGUGCUUAUAUAAAUUUUUUGUAUUGUAACGCGCUUUCUGUGUCAAACGUCGCCGAUAUUUUUCUCCAUGGGAAUGAGUGGAAGGUCCUCCUCCUCCUCCUCGAUGCGGUUUUUAAUUGCAGCUUUUAUUGUUUUUAGCUUAUCCCCUCAAACGAUUUGUAACGCCACCCAGCUAAAGUGUACCUCUUCCUGCGGCCAUAUCCGCAAUAUAAGCUACCCUUUUUGCGGCAACUCAGGAUACACUCUGUCUUGUGAGAGCAACAAAACCAUACUAAACAUACCUUCAUCUGGCGAUUACUACGUACAGGCAAUCAACUACCAUAACCAAACAAUCCGACUUGUCGAUCCGGGCCUUGACAAGAGCAAUUGCUCCUCCCUUCCUCUUCAUUCUCUGUCUCUUCCUUAUGAGUAUUUCCAAAUUCCGACGACACCUGGGAAUUGUACAGCAUCAUCAACAGAUUCAUCAGCGAUAUGUACGGAAAUUGGCACAACAAAUUUAACAUUUUUGAAGUGUCCGCGUCCAAUGAAUUCAUCUCUUUACGUGGACGCUGCUCCAUGUUUUCCUGUUGAAUCUGCUUCUACUUCAUCUUCGUCGAUGUCGUCAUCCCAACCAAAAUCGUAUGGCUAUGUCAAGAUUGGAUCUUUAGAGGUAGGGCAGAUGAAAGACGGUUGCAGCAUAGAGCGAACGACUUAUGCCUACUUGUUCGACGGCUACAACGCUUCUUAUAAAUCCAUACACAAUUCUCUGGUUUAUGGAUUUGAGCUUCAAUAUAUCCGAGAUGGUCCCUUUUCCUGCAGAAACCCAUGGUGGAAUUUCAAGUGGGAUUUCGAGUGUUAUCCGCACAGCGUUCGAGGUGAGUAGGGAAUAAAUCUCAAUUUUCUUUUUUACUUCAUUAUCAUCUUUUGUAGGAAAUUCAUUUCUAUAAAAUAAAUAAAAUUAAAAUUAAAAUUGCAGGGCCAUGGUCAUCCUUUGUAAAAAAUUAUUUUUAAAUAAAAAUGUCAGACCAAAUUCAUAUAUUAUCUUUAAUUGAAGAGGCUUCUUAAUAAUUUAUCAUUUUUAAACUUAUACUUUAAAUUUAUUGAUUAAUUUAAAUAAACUACUUGUUUUUUAAAUUUAGUCAUUGAAUUUGAAUCAAUUAUUACAACUAAGUAGUUGGCACCAAAAAAGGCUAAGAAGAGGGCUACAUUUGGCCAGUUUGUCAUUUUUAAGCUUGUGGACCAUUGGAGAUGGCCAAAUAUAUUAGACAAAGAAAUAACAAGUUUGAGCAAGUGACCAUUUACCACAGUAAUAAAAAUAUGUUGUGCUCUUACAUGAUAACAUGAGGUUCGAAUCAUGUCAAUGACAUAUAUAACCUUUACCUUACUAAUGUAAAAAAAAUAAAAAAAUAAAGUUUGAAAUUUUAAUUUAAAAUCAACUGGUGUGGGCCAAGUAUUUUACAUUUUUCCCUCUUUGUCACCGCAGGUUUUUUUCAAUUUCUAUGGGUGCUGAUUCAAUGUAAGAGAUCUAUCCAUGGGAGCUUAUAUGACAUUUAAUUUAUCCUCUAUUUCGAGAGUUCUUAUAUUCCUUUUGAAUUGGUUUGACCCUUGGCUUCUUCCACCCCUUCAUCUAGAGGUGCUACUUUCUAGAGAACGUGUCUUUUCAAUUUGAAUUGAGAUCCAAAUAUUCAGAACAUGUUGUGUAGUCUAAAAGCAUCUCUAAAGAGGUCAAAUCCAAAAUAUCAAAGUAUUUUAAAAAAAAUAUUUAAAUAUUUGAUGAAUUUUUAUAUAAAACUGUUGUGGUUAUGUUAAAUGAUUAAAAAUGAUAUAAUAUUAAUGUCAAAUUAUUUUUGUGGUACAUGUGAUAUGUCAUUUUCAAUGUGAUCUUUGUUGUGAAAAAACUAUUAAUUAAACUCCCGUGGUGAGCCCUAUUAACAAUUGAGGUCCAAAUCUAAAGUUCUGUUAGUCUUCCGUUAGAUAAAAUCAUGUGACUAUCAUAUGUGGAUCGGUCAAAAUUAAGUUUAUUUAUUUUGAAAAAUAAAAAGACAAAAACAUGAUUGAAUUAAAAUAAAAAAAAAUGUAAAGAUAGAAAAACCCAGUAGUUAGACACUAAAUUAUACUAAUUUCAGUAAACCCUAAAUUAUACUAAAUGUUCAUUGAAUAAGAUGUAAUUUGGUUUGAAAUGAUGAAUUUGACACUUCAUGUGAUAGUUAUGUGAGUUUAUUUAACAGAAGACUAACGAAAAUUUAGAUUUCGAUCUUAAUUGUUAACAAGGCCUACCACGAGGGCUUAAUUAAAAACUUUUUCAGCAAGAGGGUUACAUCGAAAGUGGUGUGUCAUCACAUGAUCACAAAAAUAUUUGGACUAAUAUUAAAUUAUUUAUUUAUUUAUUAUUUGUUUAUUUAUUUUAUUUAUUUAUAAUCUCUCCCACUUUCACUCUCUUUCCUCUCCCUCAUUUUCUCCGCCGCUAUUCCUCCCUCAUCUCAACUUCACUGGAUCUUCGAGAGCAACACCGUCGUCAGUGUUGGCAUGGCCACCGUCAACAUCUCCACCCACAACUUCGAGGCCGGCGCCUCCAUUCUCCACCCCAGGAACUUGCACGCUUUUGAACUACACCAAGCUCCUCAACUUCGCCGUCAAAAGCCCCUCCUCCUCCUCUUCUGCACUUCAAAUCAAAGCUUCCCUUUGCUGAUAAGAUUGUUUUGCUUUCCAAUUCACUCGUCAUGCUCUUCAGAUACGGCUUCUCCCUUGUCAGGAUGGACAAGGUUGUUGAGGUAUAAAAGUAAAUAAAUAAAAGGUUUGUUUAUUGAGUUUUAACUUAGGGUUUUGUUAUUGAAUUGGUAAAUUUCUUUGUGGUGCAGAUAAGAUUGUUUGGCAUCUUAUUAAUUUAUUGGGUGUUAAUUUGGUGAAGUCCUUGCCUAUGAGAAUCAUCAAUCCUGCUACUGAAGAAAUCAUGGUCCUUUUCUCACCCUAAGCAUUUCUGUCAAUUAAAUUAAUUUCUGGGUUGUUUUUUAAAUUUAAUUACUGUUUAAUCAUUGCAUUUGAUCGUGUGUAGGAUCUAGAAGGAGGAGAGGGAUAGUCGUUGGUGCAGUGGUGGUGGUCGGUGUUGAGCGGGAGUGGGAGGGACGGCGGCGGUCCUAGGGACAAGGACUCAUUUUGAAAAACUAACGAGGGUGUAGGAAAGUUUCAUUAAACAUGCACUGUUGCUCUGCAUGUUUUGGAAAAGGGCUAGAUUUUCAAAGCUAUGUUUUGCUGCUUGAGCUUUUAGUCUUUUUUUUCACCCUCAAUUUAAAAAAGCUGGUUUUAGAGUGUUUACCAAACACUAAAAAGACCCCAAUUUAUCUUCAUACCUGCAUUUUUUUUUUUAAUUUCAGCUGUACCAAACUGGUACUAAGAGCCACAGACUUUCUUUAAUUACACUAUAUUUUUGUUGCACCUUACAAGAGUGGUAUUUAAUCAAUCACAUAAACAUGUACCUAACAAAUAAUAUAGUGCAUCCUCUAUGGAUAUGAAAAACUGCAACAAAUUUCAAUGUUAAUCCAGGUGUGCGUAGGAGCGAUAUGUUUGUAACUACCUCCAGGGUAUAUGUAUGAUGGCUCAUCAGAAAUUUUUGAAUGAUGGCUUAUCAGAAAUUGGAAACCAAAAUAGCUCCCAUAAUUGAUUAGGGGCUAUAUCUAUGAUGGCUUAACAGAAAUUUUUAUCUAUAAUAAUGCUUUGCACUUCGAAAACUAGCUAGUUAUUUCUCAUUGAUUUUGUUAAUAUAUCUUCUUGUAUUUCUUGGGUAUUUAAUGUUCUUCACAAUAUUCACUUUACAAAGUUCAAGCUCUAGUCAAGUUUGAUUUACUCUUCGUUCUGUUCUAAACGCAGAUCUUCUACGGCCCGGGCUCGUACUCGAAUAUUUCGGUAAGAGCUUUGCUGAUAUAUAUGAUAUCCAAUAUUGAGCAUAUACAUUUUUUUUUUUUGGUAAAUAUUGAGCAUAUAUACUUUGAUUCAAGGCAACAAGUCAAUUUCUUUUCUCAUGAUGUUUUUUGUGAUUUACUCCAAUGUUCAGUACUAUCUGUCGGGGCAAAAUUUCUACUUGGGGCACCAUUCGUGACUGCGUUUUUGAUCUAUACAUGGAAAAGAAGACAUUUGUCAAUGUACAACUCCAUAGAAGAAUUUUUGCAUGGUGAAAAGACUUUAGUGCCAAUAAGGUACUCGUACUCGAACAUCAAGAAGAUGUCUAACAAAUUUAAAGAAAAACUUGGUGAAGGAGGGUAUGGAUCAGUUUUUAAAGCAAGGUUACGGAGUGGACGUUUUGGGGCAAUUAAGAUGUUGGAUAAGCCCAAAGGCAAUGGACAAGAUUUCAUCAGCGAGGUAAAUACGAUUGGGAGGAUUCACCAUGUUAAUGUGGUUCAGCUUGUUGGUUAUUGUGUUGAAGGAACAAAGCAUGCUUUGGUAUAUGACUUCAUGCUCAACGGAUCUCUUGAUAAAUACAUUUAUUGCAAAGAAGGAAGUAUCCCAUUAAGUUGCAAGACAACGUACGAGAUUGCACUUGGAGUGGCCCGAGGGAUCAAAUAUCUACAUGAAGGUUGUGACAUGCAAAUUUUACAUUUUGACAUCAAGCCUCACAAUAUUCUUCUUGACGAGAAUUUCGUACCAAAGAUUUCUGACUUUGGGCUGGCAAAAUUAUACCCGGUAGAUAAUAGUAUUGUGUCUCUAACAGCAGCAAGGGGUACAAUGGGAUACAUGGCUCCUGAGCUAUUCUACAAGAAUAUUGGCGGUGUUUCGUUUAAAGCGGAUGUUUAUAGUUUUGGAAUGUUGUUGAUGGAAAUGGCAAGCCGAAGGAAGAAUUUGAAUGCAUUGGCAGAGCAUUCAAGCCAACUUUACUUCCCGUCAUGGGUUUACAAUCAAUAUAAUGAAGGAAAAGACUUCGAGGUGGGAGAAGUUGUGGAGGAGGAAAAACCAUUAAUAAGAAAAAUGAUUAUAACCGCCUUGUGGUGUAUACAAUUGAAGCCAAGCGAUCGACCAUCAAUGAAGGAAGUCCUACAGAUGCUCGAGGGAGAUGUUGAAUUGCUUCGAAUGCCUCCGGAGCCUCUUCUAUAUCCACAAGAGAUGCCCGUAGGUGCUCCUAAUGAUAAUCCGAAUCCAUCAUAUUCCAAGGUGGAGUUAACAUCUUCUUUGACGGGUAGGUGAAGACACGCAACUAGCAUGGA